UGCGUAGGCGGCUAUGUAAGUCAGAGGUGAAAUCUUUCAGCUUAACUGGAAAAUUGCCUUUGAAACUGCGUAGCUUGAAUAACGUUGAGGUCAGCGGAAUGUGACAUGUAGCGGUGAAAUGCAUAGAUAUGUCAUAGAACACCAAUUGCGAAGGCAGCUGGCUGGGCGUUUAUUGACGCUGAGGCACGAAAGCGUGGGGAGCGAACAGGAUUAGAUACCCUGGUAGUCC
rnacentral:rRNA from 1 species